CCUACGGGGGGCUGCAGUCGAGAAUAUUCCACAAUGGACGAAAGUCUGAUGGAGCGACGCCGCGUGCAGGAUGAAGGCCCUUGGGUUGUAAACUGCUUUUGUAAGGGAAGAAUUUCGAUGACGGUACCUUACGAAUAAGAGGUUACUAACUCUGUGCCAGCAGUAGCGGUAAUACAGAGACCUCAAGCGUUAUCCGGAUUUAUUGGGCGUAAAGAGCUGGUAGGUUGUUAUAUUAGUCAGAUGUCAAAUCUUCGAGCUCAACUCGAAAACUGCAUUUGAAACGGUAUAACUAGAGGGUGUGAGAGAUCUAUGGAACUCAUGGUGUAGCAGUGAAAUGCGUUGAUAUCAUGAGGAACACCAAAGGCGAAGGCAUUAGAUUGGCACACUCCUGACACUGAGCAGCGAAAGCGUGGGUAGCGAAUGGGAUUAGAUACCCCGGUAGUC
rnacentral:rRNA from 1 species